UGAGUGAGAAACAGAAAAAGAAGAAAGGAAAAACAAAAUCUAUUCACCUUUUUUAUUUCUUUGAAUAUUUUUUUUCUUUUUGUAUUCGAUCUCUGUAAAAAAGGAAGAAGAUCCGUUUACAGUGUUUGCACUGGCCCUUUAUAGCCAAAAUUACAAAAAUAAAUAAAUAAUAAAAAUCGAUCUGUUAUUUCUUUUUCCGUUUUUCCUUUUCUGCUUUUGUUGGCCUAUUGUUGUUGCUUUGCUGCUGUGUUGUCCAUUUUUGUUUGUUGCAGGUACGGC
rnacentral:lncRNA from 1 species